UUUCUUGGAUAUUGCUUUUUUCCCCGCCCCUUCUUUUUAGUGAUUUGAUCUAAAUUUCAUAAGCAGAAUGUUAUUGGCUUUCAAUAAGCAGAGAAAUGGCCAAAUGUUUCUUGAAGAUGUGACAUAUUAGGUUAGGGAACUGGUUGAAUUGCUCUGUUUCGGAGAAACGAGUUAUGGGAGAAGCAAGGAUGACAGGUCUUAACAUUAAGGGCUUUGUGGGUAUUAUGCAAUUAACAAUUGUCAUGAGGCAGAAUUGAAUUUCCUCUCAAUUGUGAACUACUUUUUGCACAUUUUGUAUUAGUUUGGGGUGAACUGUGUAAAACUCUGGCUGCCAAUUAUGAGUAAGCAGUGUAAAAAUUAUAGAAUUGUGAUUUGUAAGAAUUGUAGGUGAGUUCGUAGCAAAAUUUACUAGAAUUGUAAUCAGAGUUUUAUAGUAGGAAAAUCUUUUGAGUAGUUUUCAAGAGGACUGGAUGUAG